rnacentral:rRNA from 1 species
GAUGAACGCUAGCUACAGGCUUAACACAUGCAAGUCGAGGGACCGGCGCACGGGUGAGUAACACGUAUCCAACCUGCCCUUUACUCGGGGAUAGCCUUUCGAAAGAAAGAUUAAUACCCGAUAUAAAGGAUGGGGAUGCGUUCCAUUAGGUUGUUGGUGAGGUAACGGCUCACCAAGCCUUCGAUGGAUAGGGGUUCGGGUGGGAAGGGCACCCACAUUGGAACUGAGACACGGACCAAACUUGUACGGGAGGCAGCAGUGGGGAAUAUUGGUCAAUGGGCGCUAGCCUGAACCAGCCAAGGAGCGUGAAGGAUGAAGGCUUAUGGGUCUGAAACUUCUUUUAUAUAAGAAUAUGUAUUAUAUGAAUAAGGAUCGGCUAACUCCGUGCCAGCCGCCGCGGUAAUUC